rnacentral:sRNA from 1 species
AACUGUCAAAUCUAUAUUGGGUGAAAGCUUUACCGAACUUCGAACACCACAAAGUUUACGGACCAAUUAAGGACGGGGAUGCAUGCCUACACACGUUUAGUUUUCGCCGUUUUAAAAUUUUAAUACUU